rnacentral:lncRNA from 13 species
GGGGUUUUAGGCUGUGUUUCUGUACAGCACUUUGAGAUAUCAGCUGAUGUACAAAUACAUUUGAUUUGAUUUGAUUACUACUACUACUACCACCACCAUCACUAAACUGCUAUCACUCCCAUCAUCAUUACUUCUACCACCACCAUCACUAAACUGCUAUCACUACCAUCAUCAUUACUACUACUACCACCACCAUCACUAAACUGCUAUCACUAUCAUCAUCAUUAUUACUACUACCACCCCAUCACUAAACUGCUAUUACUACCAUCAUCAUUAUUACUACUACCACCACAACCUUCACUAAACUCCUAUCACUACCAUCAUCANNNNNNNNNNACCAUCAUCAUUACUACUACUAUCACCACCACCACCAUCACCAAACUGCUAUCACUACCAUCAUCAUUACUACUACUAUCACCACCACCACCAUCACCAAACUGCUAUCACGACCAUCAUCAUUAUUAUUACUACCACCACCAUCACUAAACUGCUAUCACUACCAUCAUCAUUAUAACUACUACCACCACCAUCACAAAACUGCUAUCAGUAACAUCAUCAUUACUACUACUACCACCCCCACCUUCACUAAACUGCUUUCACUACCAUCAUCAUUACUACUACCACCUCCACCAUCACUAAACUGCUAUCACUACCAUCAUCAUCAUUACUACUACCACCACCAUCACUAAACUGCUUUCACUACCAUCAUCAUUACUACUACUACCACCACCACCAUCACUAAACUGCUAUCACUACCAUCAUCAUUACUAGUGNNNNNNNNNNNNNNNNNNNNNNAUAUUGAAUUCACAAGUUCUUGUAAGUGUUACAUUUUGUUAAGGUUUUCCACGACACUACCAACACCACCUUCACUAAACUGCUAUCACUACCAUCAUCAUUACUACUACCACCACCAUCACUAAACUGCUAUCCCUACCAUCAUCAUUACUACUACUACCACCACCACCUUCACUAAACUGCUAUCACUACCAUCAUCAUUACUACUACUACCACCACCACCAUCACUAAACUGCUAUCACUACCAUCAUCAUUACUACUACCACCACCAUCACUAAACUGCUAUCCCUACCAUCAUCAUUACUACUACUACCAACACCAC